UCUGGGAGGUGACACAUCAGUCAGGUGACACAUAGCUCUCAGAGAGGAGCAGGCAGCUCAUCUGUGCCUCCCCAUCCAGCCGGGCCUCAGACUCUUGGUCACAAUGGGCACCCAGCCCAGGUUUCCGUCCCCAACGUCCACUGGUGGGGCUGUUCGCCACAGGACAUCCUGAAGAUGACAAGAAGGCCAUCUUUGAGAAGGUGGGACUUUGGCCUCUCUUCAUCACUUCUAUCUACUGUCACCCCACCCUGCUGCCCCUCCACAGACAGGCACCCCUCAGGGCAAAAGCAGCCAUGAGCCAGGGCACCUCCCUUUAGCAAACCUGCUUGGAUUCCAGCCUUCACAGCCCCAGGCUGCAGCCCCAAAGCCAGCCCUGUUGCCCUGGUCAAGUCUCCAGUGACUCCAGAAAGCGAGGAGAGGCAGAGAGGUUGUCCUGGUGGUGAGCAAGAAGCCCACGACAUCACUGGCUCCACAGACUGCCACAGGUAAACAGCUUGAACCAGAUGACUCAGGCUGAAAGCACAUGAACCCUUCCUGCAGGGAGGUCGCCUGGAUGCAGCAGUGGUUCCACCCCUGAACCAGGCAGCCUUUGAAGACCUUGCUUCAUGUGGGCUGAAACGGCAGUGCCUCUCCUCUUUGUGGCCGGGUUUUGCCUCCUCUUUGACUCGGAAGCGUCUCCUAUCCUGCAAGGACAGUUUGAGCAGAGCCCCUGGGCCCUCCUUCCAAGAGGCUCUUGCAGCUGUGGACCCCCAAGAGUUUAUGCUGCUGAACUCUGCUGCCUCUCCCCACCUGUCUGCCCCCACACCUGUGACGCUGGCUCUCCUGGAUCCUCCUGUAGACUGGCUCCUAUAAGCACAAAGAGGAACAUGCGAGAUGCUGGGAUUGGAUGCUCGGGGCCUGGGGCUGGUGUUUCCUCAUGCCCGGGCUAUUUCUUUUUGGCCCUGGGCAUGCCGUCAUGUGCUUCCUUUCAUGGGCGGGUUGGGGACCAGGGCCAGCGAGCAGAGACGGUCCCCAGGGCUUCUCCAUCACUGACUCUUCCCAGGAAGCAGCCUCAGCUGGCGUUCUGGGGACCAGAGCUGGCCAUGAGGGAGGGGUAGACGGGGAAGGAACCGGCUGCCCAGCUCAGCAGGGAUUUGUGGAGGCUGACUUGCAUGGUUUCGGGUUUGCCUUGCCUGGAAGCCUGGCCAGGGGAGGCUCAAGUUUCCCGCCAGCUGGCCUUCCUCCUCCUCCUCCGUGUGAGUGACGACCCAUGGCCAUGAUGUCAUCACCUCGUACAAACAGAAGGGAGACUGGCUUGGUGGAGCUGGCGGCUGUCCCAUGCUGAGUGCAGCAGUAAAUUUCAUUUCAAGGCUAUGAUUAGGUCUGUGCCCAAGAAUGUGCCCCUCUCUCCUCCCCUCUCCCCGGGCCUGUUUGUCUCCCUCUGUUCCUGUCCCGCCUGUUUUCCUCUUUGUCCUCCCCUCUGGUCCUUUCUCUCUUCUCUGGGGAUGCUUCAGUUUCUCUGUGAUAUGGACCCUGUGGCCAGCAGCAGCAUCAGGCCCGAGCCAGACUCUCGUUACCUCCAGUUUCAAACUCAGCCUCGUGUCUUCUGGAGCCAGCUUCAGGAAGCGUGGGGCAGGUCUGAGUCCCUGGACUUCCUCCUGGGAGGAUGGGUUGGGGUGAGGGGCAGAGUUCCUGAAGGCCCUCAUUCAGCCUUGAGCUGGAGAGCCAGACAGCAGGAAGAGCAGGCUUGGGGUGGCUGUGGUCACUACCACCGAGAUCAGAGGCAGCGAGGCAGGAGAAAGGUGAGGAGAAACCAAGCUUUUUGAAAAGCGAGUCAGAUCCUUCUUGCCAUUCCCAGCUGGUUUCUGGAGGUUUGGGUCUGAGUCAUUAACUCAUUUUUUGGCAUGGCCACCCUUCCUCUCAGCCUCGAGAGGGCCCUUGGGCUCUGUGGACACCUGUGACAGUCCUGCCGCCCAUCACACUCAACCUUGCCUCCAGCAUGACCCGGCCACCCUGGUUCUGUCCUGGUGCUCUCCGGCCCAGGAAUGAGGCCGACGGCUCGUCACCCCUCAGUGUCACCUGCGUUCACCGGCCCCUGCUUGCCUCCCCUCGAAGGUGCCACCCGGCCACAGAACCGUGUUGCCGUGGAUGCCCGUGAGGAAGGCUCCGAGGUCUGGACAAGUGGUGUCCCACUGCACCUGCACUGGGCUGGGCUGCCUGUGGGGGUAGAGGGUGCUCUGGGUCUUUGUCGGUGCUCCCUGUCCCGUGGGACUGUGGUUCUGACCCCUUGGAGGAGGUAGCAGAACACCCUGGAUGUGGCCUCGUCAAUGAGAGAGCCCACAGUCACUCCCAGCCCCAUCAGACCCUGCCUGCCCCACAUUCAGCCAUCCUUCCUCAUUAAGACCAUCCUUCCUCAUUAAGACACUGCCUGCCCCACAUUCAGCCAUCCUUCCUCAUUAAACCUGUGCUCACCAGGCAACAGCCAGUUGAGAAUGAGGCGAUGAGCUGCAGCCCCGGGGAGGGGCCCAGCUGGGGCGGGGUGGAGGUGCAGUCGUCCUAGCAACCGGCAGAGGUGGACACCGCAUUUCUGUGGCUCAUCACCCUGACUUCAUCUGGACUCCCUGUACUUUCUCUCGUAGAUUUCUCAUUCUCACGUCUGUCUCCCCCACUGACUGUAACCUCUUAAGGCUAUAGUUCAUUUAUUCAUUCAACAGGUAUUUACUGGGCACCAGUCAUGGGACUGUGCAGAUGCCAGGGAAAUGGAUGGGGAGUGGCCCCUCCUUCCUGCAGUGCAAACCAUCCUUUAAUAUUACCUUCUCUUUUUCUGGAUAGAGAAGCAUGUCAACUUUAUUCUGCAAUGGCUUAUCUUAGCAUAAGACAUUUCUCUUAAAGGCAAAAUCAGCUUCCCAGCAUCCUUGCCUUGGAAUCCUCACCC